rnacentral:piRNA from 1 species
UNGUGGCUUUCUUGCUUAGCCAGGUGACA